rnacentral:rRNA from 1 species
GUGGGGAAUUUUGGACAAUGGGCGAAAGCCUGAUCCAGCCAUGCCGCGUGCAGGAUGAAGGCCUUCGGGUUGUAAACUGCUUUUGUACGGAACGAAAAGACUCCUUCUAAUAAAGGGGGUCCAUGACGGUACCGUAAGAAUAAGCACCGGCUAACUACGUGCCAGCAGCCGCGGUAAUACGUAGGGUGCAAGCGUUAAUCGGAAUUACUGGGCGUAAAGCGUGCGCAGGCGGUUAUAUAAGACAGAUGUGAAAUCCCCGGGCUCAACCUGGGAACUGCAUUUGUGACUGUAUAGCUAGAGUACGGUAGAGGGAGAUGGAAUUCCGCGUGUAGCAGUGAAAUGCGUAGAUAUGCGGAGGAACACCGAUGGCGAAGGCAAUCCCCUGGACCUGUACUGACGCUCAUGCACGAAAGCGUGGGGAGCAAACAGGAUUAGAAACCCCGGUAGUCC